GCGGCGGUAGCUCAGUUGGUAGAGCGCGAGCUUCCCAAGCUCGAGGUCACGGGUUCGAGACCCGUUCGCCGCU
rnacentral:tRNA from 1 species